rnacentral:rRNA from 1 species
GAUCAUGGCUCAGAUUGAACGCUGGCGGCAGGCCUAACACAUGCAAGUCGAGCGGUAGAGAGAAGCUUGCUUCUCUUGAGAGCGGCGGACGGGUGAGUAAUGCCUAGGAAUCUGCCUGGUAGUGGGGGAUAACGUUCGGAAACGGACGCUAAUACCGCAUACGUCCUACGGGAGAAAGCAGGGGACCUUCGGGCCUUGCGCUAUCAGAUGAGCCUAGGUCGGAUUAGCUAGUUGGUGAGGUAAUGGCUCACCAAGGCGACGAUCCGUAACUGGUCUGAGAGGAUGAUCAGUCACACUGGAACUGAGACACGGUCCAGACUCCUACGGGAGGCAGCAGUGGGGAAUAUUGGACAAU